UGAGCAUCUGGCCCCGACCUGGUAAAGGGUCGGUUUCGCCCAGCAGUAAGCCCUACAUGUGGACAGAGGACGAACACCGGACGAAGUGGUGACCCCGACGUGAUCUGUCUGCUGAGGGUGGCUGCCCGGCGUGCCCGUGACGCGGAGAAGAGCCUGUGAGGUGGCGGCAGGUCGCGCACGGAAGACGUAUUGCGGUUAAGAGCCUGCGAGGUGGCGGCAGGUCGCAUACGUAACAAUGGACCAAGUCAUUAAGAAAUUCUUCGUUGGCAGACCGAAGCCAACUCCAGAACAACUGAGGGACAGACGAUGGGAUCAAGAACCACUCGUCAAGAGGAGCACUACACCUGCAACGCUGACACUUCCGAUGUUGCUGAUAUUUAUGGUGUCCAUGGCAAUUACAGAGUGUCACAAACAACUACAAUGGACACAAGAACAUAUGCAGAAAAUUAAAGAAGAGCGUGAUCCCUUUGGAAGCUGGCUGGACGGACUGUUUGGGGGAACGGGUUCAUGGUUAAAGCAAUUGCUUAAAGCUCUCGCAGUAGGAUUUGCAAUCUUUGUGUGUAUUCUAAUCUGUCUUCCAUGCUUUGUAGGAUGCUUGCAGAACUGCCUUCAACGAAUGAUGGACAAGACUUUUGACUAUCACAUUGAGUAUCAUAGAUUGCGUGAAAAAUUAUAGAGGGGUUUAGGUUGUUGCGUUCGUGCUGUAACGGGGCAAGGCUUGGCCGAGCACGGAAAAGAAUUCCCUGUUGCUCUGAUGAUUGCUUAAGAACUGUAGUAGAAAAUAGUAGGAAUAGUGUGCUGAAAUAUAUUUAGGAUUAGGCGUUUUGCGCUGCUUCGCGAUGUACGGGUUAGGUGUGUGUGUAAGUAGUAUUUAGCUUAGGGAGGGGGAGAUGUUGUAGUAGGCGUCUUGCGGGGGCACGGGAUGUACGGGACAGGCCUCUCCCUAAACAUAGAGAGAUAGUGCUAUCGUGCUGACCUUGUUGCAGAGAAAACAGGAGAAGAAGAAGGAUGAUAAAAGAAUGCGGAAACGGCCAAAUAAGGCAC
rnacentral:lncRNA from 1 species